UGCCAGCCGCCGCGGUAAUACGGAGGAUGCAAGCGUUAUCCGGAUUCAUUGGGUUUAAAGGGUGCGCAGGCGGGCUUGUAAGUCAGUGGUGAAAUAUUGCCGCUUAACGGUAGAACUGCCAUUGAUACUGCAAGUCUUGAAUAUGGUUGAGGUAGGCGGAAUGUGUCGUGUAGCGGUGAAAUGCAUAGAUAUGACACAGAACGCCGAUUGCGGAGGCAGCUUACUAAGCUACGAUUGACGCUGAGGCACGAAAGCGUGGGGAGCGAACAGGAUAAGAUA
rnacentral:rRNA from 1 species